UUUGCGCAAAAUAAGUGUUUGUACCUAUUGUUAGGAGAGAAUUUUAAGGAAAAAGGAGGAAAGGCAUAUGUUAGAUAGGUGCUUUGUGUAGUUUUUUUAAGUCAUGGAGUUGCAAUGAAUUCAUUUAGGAGUUGGUUCUGGUUUUUUUUAUAUUUGGAUAUGCUGCUGAAUGACAAAGUCGGAAGUCUGGAGGACGUUAUUUUAGCUCUCGGUGAUGACAUUGUAGUUUCUAGUGCUACAUUGACACUCAACUUUAGCUAUCGUUUUAAAUCCCCACUCAAUUUCAUGUCUUGCAUUGACAUUGUAGUCUCAAGUGGUAUGGUUGCAUGUGUUCUGGACUUUCAUGGUCAUUUAAAAAGCUUGCUCACACUGACCAAUUCCCAGAUUAAGUGUUGAGGUAAACUAAAGUUACUUUAGUAAGUUUUAAGUGUUUAUGUUUAGUAGACCUUUGCAUUUUGUAUGUGGUGUAUGACAAAAAAAAUUUUAAUCUUUUUUUAUGGUUGAUAUUCCUUACCCAGGUUUCAUUGUUGAUGCCCAACACAUUGUUUAAGAUGACUUGAUUAAAGCUUAACUGCAUAUGUUCAUAGGAUCAUCUUUCUGGCUUCCUCACUCUCUCUGGUUCUAUCUGGUUGAUGUUCAGUUUUUAUGUAAGUUUUGCUGCUAAUUGAUAAUUGGGUGGUUUUUGUAGAAGUUGAAGAUUGUGUGUUCUUAUAUGUGUGGUGUGGAAACCUCAAUUUGAGGUAUAAUGUGCUGAACUUUUACAUAGAGGAAGUGGAAUUACUAUAGUAGUUCCUUCUAAUUGAGUUUAAUGGUCUGCAAAUCACAUUGGAUGGAGAGUUGGAGACUCAAUUGGCAAAUUCACUAGCUGGUUAUACUCUAUGGCUUUUUGUGCAGAAUUCACUUGACUAUGCAACCUUAGGGGCAUCAUCGAAAGUUGCUGCCCUACCUCUAUCAUAUCCAUUCCAGGUGGACAUAUAUUCUUUGCAUUCCUUUGUGUGGGACUGGUUUUGCUUUAGGAAUUUGUGAUCUGGGCUGUAUGAUUUGUUUUUUGUAGCUAACUGCAUAUAAUAAUUUAUUUUUUGUAGUUUUAAUCACAAUUCUUUUCUAGUAACCCCUUCUGUCUUGCAAGAAAGUGGUUUGCUGCAGGUAGAACAAGUGCAAGCAGCUGGAAUCCCUUGUCUUGUCUCAAAAAUCAAUAAAUCAACUCCGUGAAAACUUUGUUUCUAUUGAAAAGUAUGCUCAGGGAAAAUUCUAAAGGCGUUAUGAUUGUAAGGAGAUUGUUUCUGUAGCUUUAGAUGCUUUUUAUAAGUUGUUUUGCAACAUUAAUCUGUUUCUGAUGGUUGAUAUGAGUGCCUUCUGCAUAGCUAAUGUCAAGAAUGCCAAACUUUGAUUGAAAACAUGAUAAGAUAAAGCUUCUCAGCAAUGCGAGGAAUAACUUGAAUACAACCUUAAAGGCUGCAUCAGUGAAGAUGAGAGCAUGUAACAUGUCAUUACCUUUUAUAUUUCUUUUGAAGGAUGAAGUCCCAACCAAGCCAAGAUUGCCAUCAAGUCCAUACCAAAAGCCUCUGAAAUCAGUCGUGCCACCACUGAUUCCAACUGAAGAUGAG